rnacentral:misc_RNA from 1 species
AACCAUUCUCACCUGCGGCUAGACCUGCGGAGGGAUCAUUACACAACAAAAUAUGAAGGUCUGGCUUCGCGGCCGGCUGAAGUAUUUUUUUUCACCCAUGUCUUUUGCGCACUUGUUGUUUCCUGGGCGGGUUCGCCCGCCACCAGGACCAAACCAUAAACCUUUUUUUUAUGUAGUUGCAAUCAGCGUCAGUAAAAACAAUGUAAUUAUUACAACUUUUAACAAUGGAUCUCAGAUCGG